GUUUGAUUAGGGUUUUGGGGAUGGAGGGUCUGCGAGAGAGAGAGAGAUGGCGAUGGAAGGAGAGCGAGGGGGAUGGGUAGGUCUCGGCACUGUUGCUGCAGAUGGCUUUCACAAGUGGGAGAGUCGGUAUGGUCAGAGAAGACCCGUAGGGUUUGGGACGGAUUGGGAUGGGUUACGUGGAGUGAUGCUGCCAAAAAAGCAUGGGUUGCAGAGAGAGGGAGGGGAAGGGAGAGAGAGGAGUGAGGCACUGAAGCUACCAAAAAAGGGUUUAGGGUUGAUUUUUCCUCCUCAAAUCAAGGCUGCUGUCGGUGAUUGAGGGAUGGGGGUUUGAUUUUGUGAAGGGAAUUACUGCAUCUUCACCUCUCUCUCUCACUUCCUCUCUCAUCUACUGAAACCAUAAUCUUCCUCUCCUCGGCACUCUUCCAUGUCUCUCGCAAGCUUUUCCUUCUCUCUGUCUUCGUCUCGCUCUCCAUCUCACUCCGGGCACUAGAUUUCCAUCCGUUUCCAUCCCCAUUUCUUUCCCUCUUUUUCUCUCCCGACUCUCUCUCACUGCCCUAUUCUCUCACGCCCGCUCAUCAUCUCACUCUGGGCAAUACAUACAUGAACUCGAUGAGAAGCCACCAUCUCUUAUCUGCAAAGCGAAGAAGAACUCGACAGAUUGUUUGUGAAGGAGGUGAAGCUUACCGAGUGCGGACUCUCCUAUGCGGUUGUUGUAAUCAUGGGUCCGCAGAGCAGCGGGAAAAGCACUUUGUUAAAUCAUUUGUUUUGGACUAAGUUUAGGGAGAUGGAUGCUUACGGUGGAAGGAGCCAAACUACAAAGGGUAUUUGGAUUGCCAGGUGUGUUGGCAUUGAGCUGUGCACGAUUGCGAUGGAUUUGGAGGGGACUGAUGGGAGGGAGAGGGGCGAGGUAGUCAGAUUGAUUUUUUUUAGGGGGUUUGUGGGGUUUUUUUUUAGAGAUUUUUCUGUGAAAGCAUUGUUGUUGUAUGAAUUUUUUUUAUUUUGGGUUUUGAUUGUUUGGUUAUGAUACGACUAAUGGGCUCGGGUGUCUUGAGAUGUUAGCUUCAAUAGAAAACAGUGCAGAAAUUGAAGGAGAUAAGGAAAGAAGAAUAAGGGAAAAAGUAGAAAGUUUCAUUCAGUCAUUCAUUCCUCCUCUCAGUCCACAAUAUUACAUAUUACUUUAGUCUAAAGAAGGCAUGGAAAUGGCACUGUAGAAAUGAACAGUGUUUUCAACUUAUUUACAAAUCUACCAGCCUCUCUCUGCUGCUAAUCUUGAUGUACAUGUGUUGAUGAUCGGGGGAAGGGAAGAACAAUGGUAAAACCGCCCUUUUCCAUUUCCUUUUCAAACCCUCCUUGCCUCUUCCGUCUUGCAGACCCCGCGAGAACGACGCAGACGGUCUCGCCUCCGUCCUAUCCUCCUCUCGCCGCCGUCUCCCUUCUCUCGCCUGUGUCGUCUUACUCCACCUUUUGUGUCAGGAAGGCCCAUGCGUGGUUUUUUGGGGUGGGGAUUUCAGAUUUCAAGAGGCGAGAGAGGCUGUGCUUCGUUUCGGUCGGGUCGGGCCGAGCCUUUAUGAUUCGAUUAGAUCGAGGUGAUGGGGACAACACGAGGGGUUGAGGUGGCGUCAGGAAGGACGAGGUUGAUGGUAAGAUUGUUGUGGCUGGUAUUUCAACAACUUGGGCUCUUGAAAGUGAGCAUGCAUCUACGCAUUUGCAUGAAUGGAUUGAUCUCAUAUUCGGGUAUAAGCAGCGUGGCAAAGAAGCUAUAAUGGCAAAUAAUUUUUUCUUUUACAUUACCUAUGAAGGGACAGUGGAUAUUGAUAAGAUCUCAGACCCAGUACAACAGCGUGCAACACAGGACCAGAUUGCAUACUUCGGGCAAACGCCAUCCCAACUGCUUACCUUCCCUCACUUGAAGAGGUUGCUAUUAGCAGAUGUUCUUCAUUUACAGUGGAAUGUGUCGUUGCUGUAACACGAAACCCAGCUUUUGGCUAUCCGCUGGCAUCUCUCUGAAGGUGUACUAUCUUAUGUGGAAUUGGGAUGAAAUUUUUAGCAUGGGGAUUGGUUAAUGGUAUCUAACAUACUGCUAAGGCCGCUCCAUCAUCUGCUAGCUUGAGAAGUGAUGAAAGCGCCGAGAAAAGAGAGAAAUUGGCCGCAAAAUCCAAUGCGAAAGUAACAGAGAGCACACUCCCAACCAAAGUCAAAGAAUUAUUGGCGAGAGUAUCAAAAAAGCAGCGGUUGUGAAUCCAAUCGAAUCUGAUAAGGUUCUGAAAGCAACCCAAGAACAUGGCGUCGGAACUGCGGUCCAGUGGCUGUAUAGAAGAAAAGGACAACGCAUGCUCUCUCUCUCUCUCUCUCUCUCUCUCUCAUAGUAGCUCUGUGUUCCUCUCCCCCCAAACCUAAUGGAUUCGGCCCAAUUCGGAGCUCCAGUUGUCGAUGAAUUUUACGGACUUCCUUUGUAAUCCUUGCUGCAGAAAGCAAUCUCGACACCGCUGUGGGCGAAGGAACGCCGUCAUACGAGCCCCAGAGCAUGCUACUAUUGGCUGAUGCUUGGGCUAUUGAGAAUUUUGCCUUGGUAGCAAAAUACCCGUCUGGCCAAAUUGUAGAUUAAUAUCAGAUUUGGUGGUCGUUAUUGUAUCUGUAACCUGUGGUGGCAUUGCCUUUGCUUGCGCUGGACAACUGGUCUGAUACAUACAUUCAUAAAUACAUACCCGUGUACAUAUAUUUCCAAACUUAAUAGAGAAAACUUAAUGCUAUGAUCUUACAUAAUGUUCAUAUUCUUCUUCCUUCAUACCAAAACUAGACAGGUUAUUAGUGAAUCCAUUAUGGACCUGGAGGUUUCAACUUCGUCAGUGAAAUGGUUCAAGCCCUUUCAGCCAAAGGGUUCUUCUGACCUUGGAGGAGAAGAAAGUGCCCUACAAAUUGCACUUAAUCAAUCUCAGCGACAAACCCAGUGCUCAAGCUAGGAGCAAGUCCGGUAUCCAAGCUAUACCUUCAUUGCAUGUAGUACAGAGACAGAAGCAUGUAAGUCGUUCCUCUUGGUACAGAGACAGAAGCUAUACAAAGGCUCUUGAUUGUUCCUAAUGGUUUUCUCUUGCCUAAUAAUCAGGUGAACAAAAAGGUUUAUGUGGAUUUACGUGUUGGUGAUGUCAUCCGUUUUGGGCUAAAAGAAGACAAAGGAUAAGCACAAAAGUAAACAUCACAAAGGCGAUCACAUCUUUCCUUUCUGAAACAAGGUAGCUGUUUUAGCUCAUCACAAACUUAUAGCUCUGCAAUUACUCUGCUUGCUUGGAAAUUAUGUUCCUUUUUAUGCUCUUUGUUGCCCAAACUGUGUCAUGCUGCCGAGGUAGCAACAGUGGACUCUGUAUUGUCUCAAGAUGGCUGGCUACUGAGGUGAGCAUACAAGUCCAUAUAUAAGAAGCUGAAGCUCGCUAGGAAAUCGAUGGGGUCGAAAAUACCAAGUCCUCCGCCCAUUCCACAAGUUAGCAAAGUCCUCUCAGGUCCAGAGAGACUAAGAAGAAUUUUACCCUAACAGUGGCCAUAGCCAAGCAGAGUCACCAAGUCGGUGCAUCGAACUCGUGAACUCCCAUAUUUUUCUUGUAUUUAAUAAAUAUAACUCUAGGACUCCCACUAUGUACGAGUCUUGAUUUCUUGAAUCAGUUUGUUUAUAGGUUUUUAAUAGUUGUUGCGAAUAUCUCGAAAUUUCAAGAUCUUAGUGCUUCUUCAUUGCAGUCUGCUCAUGACCUCAUAAAAUCAAGCGUUUUAAGGCAAUGAAAAAGCACCAAGAUCUUGGAAACCUCGUUUUACGCAAUAACUAUUUUGCAGACGUUGUUGUAUUACUCAUAUCAUUGUCAUUAAGGAUGUCAUUUUAGUUCUAUGCUUUAAAUGAGA